rnacentral:rRNA from 1 species
CCUACGGGAGGCAGCAGUGAGGAAUAUUGGUCAAUGGACGAGAGUCUGAACCAGCCAAGUAGCGUGAAGGAUGACUGCCCUAUGGGUUGUAAACUUCUUUUAUAAAGGAAUAAAACGAGGCACGUGUGCCUUUUUGCAUGUACUUUAUGAAUAAGGAUCGGCUAACUCCGUGCCAGCAGCCUCGGUAAUACGGAGGAUCCGAGCGUUAUACGGAUGUAUUGGGUUUAAAGGGAGCGUAGAUGGGUUGUUAAGUCAGUUGUGAAAGUUUGCGGCUCAACCGUAAAAUUGCAAUUGAUACUGGCAGUCUUGAGUACAGUUGAGGUAGGCGGAAUUCGUGGUGUAGCGGUGAAAUGCUGAGAUAUCACGAAGAACCCCGAUUGCGAAGGCAGCUUACUAAACUGUGACUGACAUUGAUGCUCGAAAGUGUGGGUAUCAAACAGGAUUAGAUACCCGAGUAGUC